CGGCCGUCUACACAAGCAAUACGCCAGCAAGUAAAAAAACAAACAUCAACAUUUGCAAAAAUUGGCCAUCACCAACGGAGACGCCAUUUUGGCUAUCGGCCGGCUGAUUUGUAAAGCUUAGGAGAGCCAGCCAGCAAAAAUUGCAAAAAAAAAAGAUACAUAAUUAGUUUUUAACAUUUUGUGCAACAACUAUGACAUUCUAACAACCAAGCCCAAACCAAAUGUGCGUACAUAUAUCGUGGCAAAUUAGUGCGACAGUGUAAAUUAAUGCGUAUAUUAACGAAAACGCACAGUGUUUUUAGGGCGGAUGCACAAAAUGUUUAUAGAUUUUUGCAAUUGUGUCCGUUGAGCAGAAAUAUGUAAACUAAACGCAGCGCGCCGCAAACAGCAGCAGUGCAUGCAAAAACAACAACAAUAGUAACAACAAAAACAACAAUAACAACAACAGAAAACCCCGUUUCUUAUUGGGAUAACAACAACAACAACAACAGCAGCA